rnacentral:rRNA from 1 species
UCCACGGGGCAUGCUCAGUACGGCGAGUGAAGCGGCAAGAGCUCAAAUUUGAAAGCUGGCUCCUUCGGGGUCCGCAUUGUAAUUUGCAGAGGAUGCUUCGGGUGCGGCCCCUGUCUAAGUGCCCUGGAACGGGCCGUCAGAGAGGGUGAGAAUCCCGUCUGGGAUGGGGUGUCCGCGCCCGUGUGAAGCUCCUUCGACGAGUCGAGUUGUUUGGGAAUGCAGCUCUAAAUGGGUGGUAAAUUUCAUCUAAAGCUAAAUACUGGCCGGAGACCGAUAGCGCACAAGUAGAGUGAUCGAAAGAUGAAAAGCACUUUGAAAAGAGAGUUAAAAAGCACGUGAAAUUGUUGAAAGGGAAGCGCUUGCGACCAGACUCGCCUCCAGGGUUCAGCCGGCAUUCGUGCCGGUGUACUUCCCUGGGGGCGGGCCAGCGUCGGUUUGGGCGGCCGGUCAAAGGCUCCCGGAAUGUAGUGCCCUCCGGGGCACCUUAUAGCCGGGAGUGCAAUGCGGCCAGCCUGGACCGAGGAACGCGCUUCGGCACGGACGCUGGCAUAAUGGUCGUAAACGACCCGUCUUGAACAACGGACCAAAAAGGC